GCCAGGCGUGGUGGCGCAUGCCUGUAAUCCCAGCUACUCAGGAGGCUGAGGCAGGAGGAUUGCUUGAGCCCAGGAAUUUGAGAACAGCCUGGGCAACAUACCAAGACCCUAUCUCAC
ensembl:misc_RNA Metazoa_SRP Metazoan signal recognition particle RNA